CAGCCGCCGCGGUAAUACGGAGGGAGCUAGCGUUGUUCGGAUUUACUGGGCGUAAAGCGCACGUAGGCGGAUCGAUCAGUCAGGGGUGAAAUCCUGGAGCUCAACUCCAGAACUGCCUUUGAUACUGUCGAUCUCGAGUCCGGAAGAGGUGAGUGGAACUCCUAGUGUAGAGGUGGAAUUCGUAGAUAUUAGGAAGAACACCAGUGGCGAAGGCGGCUUACUGGCUCAUUCUAGACGCUGAGGUGCGAAAGCGUGGGGAGCAAACAGGAUUAGAUACCCCAGUAGUCCCUGUCUCUUAUAC
rnacentral:rRNA from 1 species